rnacentral:rRNA from 1 species
UGGGGAAUUUUGGACAAUGGGGGAAACCCUGAUCCAGCCAUCCCGCGUGUGCGAUGAAGGCCUUCGGGUUGUAAAGCACUUUUGGCAGGAAAGAAACGUCAUGGGUUAAUACCCCGUGAAACUGACGGUACCUGCAGAAUAAGCACCGGCUAACUACGUGCCAGCAGCCGCGGUAAUACGUAGGGUGCAAGCGUUAAUCGGAAUUACUGGGCGUAAAGCGUGCGCAGGCGGUUCGGAAAGAAAGAUGUGAAAUCCCAGAGCUCAACUUUGGAACUGCAUUUUUAACUACCGGGCUGGAGUGUGUCAGAGGGAGGUGGAAUUCCGGGUGUAGCAGUGAAAUGCGUAGAUAUGCGGAGGAACACCGAUGGCGAAGGCAGCCUCCUGGGAUAACACUGACGCUCAUGCACGAAAGCGUGGGGAGCAAACAGG